rnacentral:rRNA from 1 species
GAUGAACGCUAGCGACAGGCCUAACACAUGCAAGUCGAGGGGCAGCAUGGUAUCAGCUUGCUGAUACCGAUGGCGACCGGCGCACGGGUGAGUAACGCGUAUGUAAUCUGCCUGUAACAGAGGGAUAACCCGGAGAAAUCCGGCCUAAUACCUCAUAAUACAUAUUAUUCGCAUGAGUUUUAUGUUAAAGAAAUUCGGUUACAGAUGAACAUGCGUUCCAUUAGCUGGUUGGCGGGGUAACGGCCCACCAAGGCGACGAUGGAUAGGGGUUCUGAGAGGAAGGUCCCCCACACUGGUACUGAGACACGGACCAGACUCCUACGGGAGGCAGCAGUGAGGAAUAUUGGUCAAUGGGCGAGAGCCUGAACCAGCCAAGUCGCGUGGAGGAAGACUGCCCUAUGGGUUGUAAACUCCUUUUACCUGGGAAUAACGGGCGCUACGUGUAGCGCUGUGCAUGUACCGGGAGAAUAAGCAUCGGCUAAUUCCGUGCCAG